GCCUACGGGGGGCAGCAGUGAGGAAUAUUGGUCAAUGGGCGGAAGCCUGAACCAGCCAAGUCGCGUGAGGGAAUAAGGCCCUACGGGUCGUAAACCUCUUUUGCCGGGGAGCAAGGGCCGGGACGCGUCCCGGCCCGGAGAGUACCCGGAGAAAAAGCAUCGGCUAACUCCGUGCCAGCAGCCGCGGUAAUACGGAGGAUGCGAGCGUUAUCCGGAUUUAUUGGGUUUAAAGGGUGUGUAGGUGGGCUUUUAAGUUAGCGGUAAAAAUUCGGGGUUCAACCCCGUCCGGCCGUUGAAACUGGGGG
rnacentral:rRNA from 1 species